ACACAGACAGCCACACGGACAGAAGAGCGCAGGAGAGCUGAGGGAGGACAGACAGCUGCCCUUGGCAGCGUGAGUGCACAGGAAAAAAGGCAGCAUAGGCGAGAGGUCAGUACGCAAGAAGGGAAGGCAGGCGAGAGAGGUCAACAAGAGGAAAGCUGCCAUUUGGCAGCAUGAGAAUGGGGAGGAUGGACAGAGUGAAGACUUGCGAGGAGCUGCGGGAAAGAAGGAGGUCAGAGUCAGUACGGGACAGCAAGAAUAAGGAGGGCACGAACGCAGCAGAUCAUCCCCUUUCGGUUUAAUCUUUCCAAACUUCUAUUUUAUUUUUGUUUUAAUAAUGUGUAAUUAAAUUUAUUUUGGCUAGAGGUUAAUCCAAAGC
rnacentral:lncRNA from 1 species